UUAUAGGUUAUGUAUUAGAUGGAUCGGUGAUUUGUGUUCAUAACGAAGCUGGUGGCGAGUCUGGCGACUGUUUCUGUUUCCGCAAGUCAGACGAAAUCACGAAUCUUUUGAACUUAUCUUGUGUUUUUUAUAACUUUGAAACAUGAAGUUUAAAACAUAAAGCCAAGUAUAUGACAUCUUUAAAAUUGAAAAUUUGAGAAUCUUUAAAUCUUUAAAUCUGAAAUUAUGUUUUUACAUUAAAUGGACGUAUGGGCCGUCUAUGGAUAGCCCAACAAAUUAUGGUCUUAUUUGGUUAUGGUCUCAUUUGGACAUGGUUCUAUUUGGGCUUCGACCAAAAAUGUCCAGCAAAAAAAUAAAACCCAUUCGGACACACCCAAACCCGCCCAACCCGCCCAUUUGACAUCUCUAGUCAUGGCUAACCCUUUGGUCAACCUCUCCGAUCUACAGUCUGGCCGCUCUUCCUACACCGUUCAAGUCCGAUUGCUCCACUUCUGGGAGGCCAGGAACGUCUGACGCGCUGGCGAACUCAUGGUACUCGAUAUGUUGCUGCUUGAUUCCCAGGUGAAACUUUGGACACGCUGAAGAGGGCGAUUCAUGUACGAGAUGCAACUGCAAAAAGUCAAAGUGUUUGAAGCUAUUGAGAAUUCACUUGCAUUAUCUCCCAAACACAAAAAACAACAACACUCUCUAUACAGAGAUCAUGCGGAUAAAUCCCAGAGUUUGUUACUCAGAUUUCUAUCACCGCUGCUGGCACUGGUAUCACUGUGCUGUUCAGUGUGAUAUGUAGCCUUGCUUCAAGUCGUGUACCCUUUUGCACAAACAAGUUCUUCAACACUGGACUUGGUUUAAGUGUGGUAAUACUGUUUUGGGCUGUGGAUAGACUCAGGGAGAUGAUUACUUAGAGCAUGCCUUUUCAAUGGGUUAUGGCUUUUAAGUUAGCAAUGAGAACCAUAGUUAUAUCUGUGGAAGCAAAAGCUAAACAGUAUUUUAUUUUCUAAUGGGAAACCUCUUAUUAUCCUUUGUAAAUUAUAUGUUUCUCCAAUGACCUGGAGAAUAUAUAAACUGGUUUAUGUUUGUGAGAAUCAAGAACAAACAAAUACUUGAAUAUAAAACAUGUUUACCCA